GUGCCAGCAGCCGCGGUAAUACGUAGGGGGCAAGCGUUGUCCGGAAUUAUUGGGCGUAAAGCGCGCGCAGGCGGCCUUGUAAGUCUGUCGUUUAAACUCGGAGCUCAACUUCGAGUCGCGAUGGAAACUGCAAAGCUUGAGUGCAGAAGAGGAAAGUGGAAUUCCACGUGUAGCGGUGAAAUGCGUAGAGAUGUGGAGGAACACCAGUGGCGAAGGCGACUUUCUGGGCUGUAACUGACGCUGAGGCGCGAAAGCGUGGGGAGCAAACAGGAUUAGAUACCCUGGUAGUCC
rnacentral:rRNA from 1 species